GGGGCGUUAGCUCAGUCGGUCAGAGCAGCGGACUCAUAAUCCGUCGGUCGUCGGUUCAAGCCCGACACGCCCCACCG
rnacentral:tRNA from 18 species